GCCAGUGCAGUGUAGUGGUUUGAGUGUUGGACUGCAACUCUGGAGGCCAGGAUUCAAAUCCCAGCUCAGCCA